rnacentral:tRNA from 1 species
ACGAAAGAUUGGCGAUCGGUAAGAAUCCACAACAAGUUGUUCUUCGAAGAUGUAUCUGAGGGUCUGUAGCUCAGUUGGUUAGAGCACACGCUUGAUAAGCGUGGGGUCACAAGUUCAAGUCUUGUCAGACCCACCAAAUCUGAUUGCAGUAGCUUAGAUUAAAAGAUAUAUCGUUCAUUAAGUGAUAAGCUGGGGACUUAGCUUAGUUGGUAGAGCGCCUGCUUUGCACGCAGGAGGUCAGGAGUUCGACUCUCCUAGUCUCCACCAUACAUUACGAAGUAAUGUAGAAACUAAAGUUAAAUUCCAAGAUAGCUUAUAGAAUUUAGUAAACAAGAAGAUCGAAUGGUCUUGGUUUAUUAACUUCUGUGAUUUAUCACAGUUUACUACUCACCGACGAGGUGGUAGUUAAUCAUUAACAGAUUAGAAAAUUGAGUCUGAAAUAAAUUGUUCAAACUCGAUUAGAUAUAAGCUUAACAAGCAAUUGUUAAGAAGAUAUUUAAUCCGAGAACUAGCAAAUUAACUGAAUCAAGCGUUUUGGUAUAUGAAUUAGAUUGAAGCUGUACGGUGAUUAAAUUCACAGGACAACAGAUGGUAGCAAUUAAGUUUGCAACGAUAACACUCACUUGUAUGUGUUAACGACUGUUUGGGGUUGUAU